AGUGGAUGGGGAGCAACCUAGUUGUGCGUGUGUAAAGGUAGUGCCAAGAAAAGCGAUGAUCAUGUUGAAAAUCAAUUCCCGGUACCCGAAACCGACACAGGUGGGCAAGUAGAGAAUACUAAGGGGCGCGAGGUAACUCUCUCCAAGGAACUCGGCAAAAUGACCCCGUAACUUAGGGAGAAGGGGUGCCACCGAGAGGUGGUCGCAGUGAAGAGGCCCAGGCGACUGUUUAGCAAAAACAUAGGUCUCUGCAAACUCGAAAGAGGAGGUAUAGGGGCUGACGCCUGCCCAGUGCCGGAAGGUUAAAGAAGUUGGUCAGUUUUAGGAUGAAGCUAGCGACUGAAGCCCCGGUGAACGGCGGCCGUAACUAUAACGGUCCUAAGGUAGCGAAAUUCCUUGUCGGGUAAGUUCCGACCCGCACGAAAGGCGUAACGAUCUGGGCGCUGUCUCGGAGAGAGGCUCGGCGAAAUAGGAUUGUCUGUGAAGAUACGGACUACCUGCAUUUGGACAGAAAGACCCUAUGAAGCUUUACUAUAGCUUGGAAUUGUGUUCGGGCUUCCUGUGCGCAGGAUAGGUGGGAGGCGUAGAAGGUAUUCUUGUGGGGAUACUGGAGCCAACGGUGAGAUACCACUCUCAGGAGGCUAGAAUUCUAACUUAAUUAAGGACAGUUUCAGGUGGGUAGUUUGACUGGGGCGGUCGCCUCCAAAAAGGUAACGGAGGCGUACAAAGGUUCCCUCAGACUGGUUGGAAAUCAGUCGAAGAGUGCAAAGGCAGAAGGGAGCUUGACUGCGAGAAGUACAGUUCGAGCAGGGUGGAAACACGGUCUUAGUGAUCCGACGGUGCUGUGUGGAAGGGCCGUCGUUCAACGGAUAAAAGUUACUCUAGGAUAACAGGCUGAUCUCCCCCAAGAGUUCACAUCGACGGGGAGGUUUGGCACCUCGAUGUCGGCUCAUCGCAACCUGGGGCGGAAGUACGUCCCAAGGGUUGGGCUGUUCGCCCAUUAAAGCGGUACGUGAGCUGGGUUCAGAACGUCGUGAGACAGUUCGGUCCAUAUCCGAUGUAGGCGUGAGAAUAUUGAGAGGAGCCUUCCUUAGUACGAGAGGACCGGGAAGGGCGCACCGCUGGUGUACCUGUUAUGAUGCCAAUUGUAAACGCAGGGUAGCCAAGUGCGGAGAGGAUAACCGCUGAAAGCAUCUAAGUGGGAAGCCCACCUCAAGAUGAGUAUUCUGGUGUAAGGUCACGGGAAGACGACCCGUAAAUAGGCACGAGGUGGAAGUGCAGAGAUGUAUGAAGCCGAAGUGUACUAAUAGACCGUCGGCUUGACAU
rnacentral:rRNA from 1 species